CUUGUGCUUGGGAGGCUUUUAUGUACAUGUUUCCCUCCAAAAUACCUGGAAGUGACAUCACACCACUUCUGGUGUGGUACUAUAUAAGCCCAGUGCAGGGUAUUUUUUUUUUUGUGGUGUAGUCUGUAAGUUAGAGUUGGUUGUUUAAAGUUUUGUAUGUAUUUGCAAAAAUGUUUUAAUAGAGGUGUUUCUUGACCAACAACGACCAACAACGACCAACAACGACCAACAUUUUUACUGUGUUUUGUUCGGGAGGCAAUUGCAGUCCACCAUAAAGGAGCCUGUGGUGAAGGAUGGUGUUCCUUUGUGGUGAGCCCUCUUGGCCUUCCACUACAUUUGAAGCCUACCAUUCCUUCCUUUAUUGCGAGAACUUUGGUUGUAUUGUGAUCUGAAUGUCAAAUUUAUUUAUACUUGUUUUACUUGAAGUGUAAAAACAGAUUUUUGCUGUUCGUGUUGUGGAAUUUUAAUAAAUGAUCUUUCUUUCAAA